rnacentral:rRNA from 1 species
UUGGGACUGAGACACGGCCCAAACUCCUACGGGAGGCAGCAGUGGGGAAUAUUGGGCAAUGGGGGGAACCCUGACCCAGCAACGCCGCGUGGAGGAAGAAGGUUUUCGGAUCGUAAACUCCUGUCCUUGGAGACGAGUAGAAGACGGUAUCCAAGGAGGAAGCCCCGGCUAACUACGUGCCAGCAGCCGCGGUAAUACGUAGGGGGCAAGCGUUGUCCGGAAUAAUUGGGCGUAAAGGGCGCGUAGGCGGCUCGGUAAGUCUGGAGUGAAAGUCCUGCUUUUAAGGUGGGAAUUGCUUUGGAUACUGUCGGGCUUGAGUGCAGGAGAGGUUAGUGGAAUUCCC